rnacentral:rRNA from 1 species
CGAUGGAUAGGGGUUCUGAGAGGAAGGUCCCCCACAUUGGAACUGAGACACGGUCCAAACUCCUACGGGAGGCAGCAGUGAGGAAUAUUGGUCAAUGGACGAGAGUCUGAACCAGCCAAGUAGCGUGAAGGAUGACUGCCCUAUGGGUUGUAAACUUCUUUUAUAUGGGAAUAAAGUAUUCCACGUGUGGGAUUUUGUAUGUACCAUAUGAAUAAGGAUCGGCUAACUCCGUGCCAGCAGCCGCGGUAAUACGGAGGAUCCGAGCGUUAUCCGGAUUUAUUGGGUUUAAAGGGAGCGUAGGUGGAUUGUUAAGUCAGUUGUGAAAGUUUGCGGCUCAACCGUAAAAUUGCAGUUGAAACUGGCAGUCUUGAGUACAGUAGAGGUGGGCGGAAUUCGUGGUGUAGCGGUGAAAUGCUUAGAUAUCACGAAGAACUCCGAUUGCGAAGGCAGCUCACUAGACUGCAACUGACACUGAUGCUCGAAAGUGUGGGUAUCAAACAGGAUUAGAUACCCUGGUAGUCCACACAGUAAACGAUGAAUACUCGCUGUUUGCGAUAUACAGUAAGCGGCCAAGCGAAAGCAUUAAGUAUUCCACCUGGGGAGUACGCCGGCAACGGUGAAACUCAAAGGAAUUGACGGGGGCCCGCACAAGCGGAGGAACAUGUGGUUUAAUUCGAUGAUACGCGAGGAACCUUACCCGGGCUUAAAUUGCAUUUGAAUAAUCUGGAAACAGGUUAGCCGCAAGGCAAAUGUGAAGGUGCUGCAUGGUUGUCGUCAGCUCGUGCCGUGAGGUGUCGGCUUAAGUGCCAUAACGAGCGCAACCCUUAUCUUUAGUUACUAACAGGUUAUGCUGAGGACUCUAGAGAGACUGCCGUCGUAAGAUGUGAGGAAGGUGGGGAUGACGUCAAAUCAGCACGGCCCUUACGUCCGGGGCUACACACGUGUUACAAUGGGGGGUACAGAAGGCAGCUACCUGGCGACAGGAUGCUAAUCCCAAAAACCUCUCUCAGUUCGGAUCGAAGUCUGCAACCCGACUUCGUGAAGCUGGAUUCGCUAGUAAUCGCGCAUCAGCCAUGGCGCGGUGAAUACGUUCCCGGGCCUUGUACAC